rnacentral:rRNA from 1 species
AGUGAACGCUGGCGGUAGGCCUAACACAUGCAAGUCGAACGGCAGCACAGUAAGAGCUUGCUCUUACGGGUGGCGAGUGGCGGACGGGUGAGGAAUACAUCGGAAUCUACUUUUUCGUGGGGGAUAACGUAGGGAAACUUACGCUAAUACCUCAUACGACCUACGGGUUAAAGCAGGGGAUCUUCGGACCUUGCCCGAUUGAAUGAGCCGAUGUCGGAUUAGCUAGUUGGCGGGGUAAAGGCCCACCAAGGCGACGAUCCGUAGCUGGUCUGAGAGGAUGAUCAGCCACACUGGAACUGAGACACGGUCCAGACUCCUACGGGAGGCAGCAGUGGGGAAUAUUGGACAAUGGGCGCAAGCCUGAUCCAGCCAUACCGCGUGGGUGAAGAAGGCCUUCGGGUUGUAAAGCCCUUUUGUUGGGAAAGAAAAGCAGCAGGUUAAUACCCCGAUGUUCUGACGGUACCCAAAGAAUAAGCACCGGCUAACUUCGUG